UACAGAGGGUGCAAGCGUUAAUCGGAAUUACUGGGCGUAAAGCGUGCGUAGGUGGUUUGUUAAGUCAGGUGUGAAAUCCCCGGGCUCAACCUGGGAACUGCGCUUGAUACUGGCAGACUAGAGUGUGGUAGAGGGUAGUGGAAUUCCCGGUGUAGCGGUGAAAUGCGUAGAUAUCGGGAAGAACAUCAGUGGCGAAGGCGGCUACCUGGACCAACACUGACACUGAGGCACGAAAGCGUGGGGAGCAAACAGG
rnacentral:rRNA from 1 species